rnacentral:tRNA from 1 species
GGGGUUGUAGCCCAGUGGUAGAGCACUUGCCUGGCAUGUGUGAGGUCCUGGGUUCAAUCCCCAAGACUUCCA